GACGAACGCUGGCGGCGUGCUUAACACAUGCAAGUCGAACGGAAAGGCCCUGCUUUUGUGGGGUGCUCGAGUGGCGAACGGGUGAGUAACACGUGAGUAACCUGCCCUUGACUUUGGGAUAACUUCAGGAAACUGGGGCUAAUACCGGAUAGGAGCUCCUGCUGCAUGGUGGGGGUUGGAAAGUUUCGGCGGUUGGGGAUGGACUCGCGGCUUAUCAGCUUGUUGGUGGGGUAGUGGCUUACCAAGGCUUUGACGGGUAGCCGGCCUGAGAGGGUGACCGGCCACAUUGGGACUGGGGUACGGCCCAGACGCAUACGGGAGGCAGCGGUGGGGAAUAUAGCACGAUGGGCGGAGGCCGGAUGGAGCAACGCCGCGUGCGGGAUGACGGCCUUCGGGUUGUAAACCGCUUUCGCCUGUGACGAAGCGUGAGGGACGGUAAUGGGUAAAGAAGCACCGGCUAACUACGU
rnacentral:rRNA from 1 species